UGGAAAUAUCAGAAGAGUAUACAUGGGG
rnacentral:piRNA from 1 species